GAUGAAGAACGUAGCAAAAUGCGAUAAGUAAUGUGAAUUGCAGAAUUCAGUGAAUCAUCGAAUCUUUGAACGCACAUUGCGCCCGCCAGUAUUCUGGCGGGCAUGCCUGUUCGAGCGUCAUUUCAACCCUCAAGCACAGCUUGGUGUUGGGACUCGCGUUAAUUCGCGUUCCCAAAUUGAUUGGCGGUCACGUCGAGCUUCCAUAGCGUAGUAGUAAAACCCUCGUUACUGGUAAUCGUCGCGGCCACGCCGUUAAACCCCAACUUCUGAAUGUUGACCUCGGAUCAGGUAGGAAUACCCGCUGAACUUAAGCAUAUCAAUAAGCGGAGGA
rnacentral:misc_RNA from 1 species